CAGCUGUGUUUUACGCAAACGGAGUAUCCCAAGUUUAAGCGGAUGACGUGUCAGCGACUUCUGUUGAAGCAGGAAGAGUAUGCUCAGUACACGUCGGAGCCGAUGUCGGAGCACGUGGUGAAGCUGCAGGAGGGCCGCCUGACGGCCGGCCUGGUCGAGAUGAUGGCGCUGGCUGACAUCACCAGGUACGACUUCUGGGUGUACAAGGACAUCGACCAGCCGCCGACCAAUGUGACCAACCGCG